GGCUCGGUAGCGCGUGGCGCGCGUCUGCGCAUUAUGCAACAGUGUUCUGUGAAUACGUUGAGCAGACACCCCCGUUCGACUCGGGGUCGAGCCG